GACAGGCUUAACACAUGCAAGUCGAGGGGCAGCACAGGUAGCAAUACCGGGUGGCGACCGGCGCACGGGUGAGCAACGCGUAUGCAACUUGCCUAUCAGAGGGGGAUAACCCGGCGAAAGUCGGACUAAUACCGCAUGAGGCAGGGAUCCCGCAUGGGAAUAUUUGCUAAAGAUUCAUCGCUGAUAGAUAGGCAUGCGUUCCAUUAGGCAGUUGGCGGGGUAACGGCCCACCAAACCGACGAUGGAUAGGGGUUCUGAGAGGAAGGUCCCCCACAUUGGUACUGAGACACGGACCAAACUCCUACGGGAGGCAGCAGUGAGGAAUAUUGGUCAAUGGCCGAGAGGCUGAACCAGCCAAGUCGCGUGAGGGAUGAAGGUUCUAUGGAUCGUAAACCUCUUUUAUAAGGGAAUAAAGUGCGGGACGUGUCCCGUUUUGUAUGUACCUUAUGAAUAAGGAUCGGCUAACUCCGUGCCAGCAGCCGCGGUAAUACGGAGGAUCCGAGCGUUAUCCGGAUUUAUUGGGUUUAAAGGGUGCGUAGGCGGCCUUUUAAGUCAGCGGUGAAAGUCUGUGGCUCAACCAUAGAAUUGCCGUUGAAACUGGGGGGCUUGAGUAUGUUUGAGGCAGGCGGAAUGCGUGGUGUAGCGGUGAAAUGCAUAGAUAUCACGCAGAACCCCGAUUGCGAAGGCAGCCUGCCAAGCCAUUACUGACGCUGAUGCACGAAAGCGUGGGGAUCAAACAGGAUUAGAUACCCUGGUAGUCCACGCAGUAAACGAUGAUCACUAGCUGUUUGCGAUACACUGUAAGCGGCACAGCGAAAGCGUUAAGUGAUCCACCUGGGGAGUACGCCGGCAACGGUGAAACUCAAAGGAAUUGACGGGGGCCCGCACAAGCGGAGGAACAUGUGGUUUAAUUCGAUGAUACGCGAGGAACCUUACCCGGGUUUGAACGCAUUCGGACCGAGGUGGAAACACCUUUUCUAGCAAUAGCCGUUUGCGAGGUGCUGCAUGGUUGUCGUCAGCUCGUGCCGUGAGGUGUCGGCUUAAGUGCCAUAACGAGCGCAACCCUUGCCACUAGUUACUAGCAGGUAAAGCUGAGGACUCUGGUGGGACUGCCAGCGUAAGCUGCGAGGAAGGCGGGGAUGACGUCAAAUCAGCACGGCCCUUACAUCCGGGGCGACACACGUGUUACAAUGGCGUGGACAAAGGGAGGCCACCUGGCGACAGGGAGCGAAUCCCCAAACCACGUCUCAGUUCGGAUCGGAGUCUGCAACCCGACUCCGUGAAGCUGGAUUCGCUAGUAAUCGCGCAUCAGCCAUGGCGCGGUGAAUACGUUCCCGGGCCUUGUACACACCGCCCGUCAAGCCAUGGGAGCCGGGGGUACCUGAAGUCCGUAACCGCGAGGAUCGGCCUAGGGUAAAACUGGUGACUGGGGCU
rnacentral:rRNA from 1 species